CGCUGUCCCAGAUGCAGAAGAUCGGGAAGGGAGGUCCUUCGGCAACAAGGCGAGACAGGUGGUGGGAGAAUUCUGGGAUUUCUACAGGUGCGAGCCAGGAUAUGAGGCCAUAGCGGCUCAGGUGGCUGACACAGCAUGUCGCAAACUAGUGAAGGACAUGCACUACGAGGCGCGUGUUCAGGCCGUAAUUACCUACUGCGCCGAUGUG